GUGGAAUGGGAGAAGUGAGAGUU
rnacentral:piRNA from 1 species